rnacentral:rRNA from 1 species
CCAGAGAACUUAGCAGAGAUGCUUGUGCCUUCGGGAACUCUGAGACAGGUGCUGCAUGGCUGUCGUCAGCUCGUGUUGUGAAAUGUUGGGUUAAGUCCCGCAAGAGCGCAACCCUUAUCCUUUGUUGCCAGCGGCUCGGCCGGGAACUCAAAGGAGACUGCCGGUGAUAAACCGGAGGAAGGUGGGGAUGACGUCAAGUCAUCAUGGCCCUUACGGCCAGGGCUACACACGUGCUACAAUGGCGCAUACAAAGAGAAGCGACCUCGCGAGAGCAAGCGGACCUCAUAAAGUGCGUCGUAGUCCGGAUUGGAGUCUGCAACUCGACUCCAUGAAGUCGGAAUCGCUAGUAAUCGUAGAUCAGAAUGCUACGGUGAAUACGUUCCCGGGCCUUGUACACACCGCCCGUCACACCAUGGGAGUGGGUUGCAAAAGAAGUAGGUAGCUUAACCUUCGGGAGGGCGCUUACCACUUUGUGAUUCAUGACUGGGGUGAAGUCGUAACAAGGUAGGCGUAGCGAG